UGCAGGACAGAGCCUUGAACUUAAUGCAGCACAAUGUCAGAGAAAUGUCAUGCGGACACAAAGUGUACUUAUCUUCAUUUACCUAAAGAAAUGCUUUUUUUACUAUUUGAUUUACUUUCUCAAUUGGAAAGGUGAUUAACAUCUAGAUUGACAUUGACAUCUAGAUUGACAUUCUGAUUUGUCAAUUAUAAGUUGAAUGUCAGCAUAAAUAAUAAUAUUUAAUUGGAAAAUUUGAUAAAACAAGAUUUUUUUUUCAUUGGUGUGAUAAAA